GUUAAUAUCUUCGCAUUCGGAAAUUUAAAAUUCCAAGCUAAUCAUAUGCAGACAAAUCUAUCUUCCCCUCUUCAAUUUUCAUAGCAAGGCUGGACGGCACAUAGGUGGAAAGUGGAAACUAUGAUGGACACAAGGAAAUGUGGCAAGAAAGUUCAUCUGAAAAAUCUAAGUAACUUCUUUAAAAUUUCAAAGGAAUAAUAUGCUAAAAAAAUUCAUAAACUGUAAACACAAUCUAUUCUGACUCUGUUUACUGCUUAGCUCUAAAACAGUACUUUCUUUCAACUACUUCCAAAAGAAUGAGCUCAUAGGAAUAUAGUAUAUUAUUAUACAUGAAAUUAAGUCAAAUUAACAGAUUUCCCAAUCUACUAGUUGCUUUAUGGGCUAUCAGAAUCUUACGAA
rnacentral:misc_RNA from 1 species